ensembl:lncRNA
GUUUGCUGUUUAUUUGAGCAAUAUGAGAUGGAAGGAAGUUCCAUGCAUUAAGGGCUCUAUAUAAUACUGUACGUUUUCUUGAAAGAAUAAAAAUAAAACGGAGAGGAUGCAUGUUUUGGAAUAUAUUUUUUCUUCCUUCUUUUACUCUGUCAUUUAGGUUAGUAUUGUUGAGUAACUACAAUGCUAUUGAUCAGUCCUCAGUUUUCUCCUUUCACAGCGAUUAAACUCUUGUUUUUUUUCUGGCUGGAUUGGGGACGGUGUCAGCUGGGAUGCUACCUGAAGGAGUUCAGAGUAUUAUCCCUAUGUGGCGUACCUGGGGUGUCUGAUCUGCCUCUGCCUGACCCAUCUGUGGGUGGUCGUCUCCUUCAGAAACCCAGACAGUUGCAUCCUACUCUACACAGGCUGGGAACCAAUCAUCACUGCCAUGGUCAUCAGCAGUAUCAGAGGAUACUAGAUCGGAACAUCGGAGCAUCCUGAACACAACUGUAUAAGACCCGAGCAUGGCGGGAAUGAUAGUCUACACGCCAGUUAUGAAUAGUUGUUGGGGGGAACUUGGUUGCCAACUGGUCCAGUCGUAUCACCACUGAUCUGCAGGCAGGUGCCUGAGGAUCGAAGGAGCUGCUACAACCCCUGCAGGACCUUUUGUGGCUCAGGUGCUGCUCCUGUCUAUCACCUUCUUAGCUGCAGCUUUUCUACAGGUAAACCAUAAAGCAAGAGAGAUCAGUUAGGCCAAUUCAUGUGUCUCAGUAGUCAUAAGUGGGUUAUUUCUCCUCUGCUCCUUUAUUAACACUGAUACGGAGUAUACCAAACAUUAAGAACACCUGCUCUUUCCAUGACAUAGACUGACCAGGUGAAAGCUACUGCAUGAGCCCUUAUGGAUGUCACUUGUUAAAUCCACUCCAAAUCAGUAUAGUUGCAAAUUAUUUUUAAGCCUUUUGAGACAUGGAAUGUGUAUGUGUGCCGUUCAGAGGGUGAAUGGGGAAGACAAAAGAUUUAAGUGCCUUUGAACAGGGUAUGGUAGUAGGUGCCAGGCACACUGGUUUGAGUGUGUCAAGAACUGCAAUGAUGCUGGGUUUUUCACGCUCAACGGUUUCCCUUGUGUAUCAAGAAUGGUCCACCAGCCAAUGGACAUCUAGCCAACUUGACACAACUGUGGGAAGCAUUGGAGUUAAUAUGGACCUGCAUCCCUGUGGAACGCUUUUGACACCUUGUAGAGUCCAUACCCCGACGAACUGAGGCUGUUCUGAGGGCAAAAGGGGGGUGGUCUUAAUGUUUGGUAGUCAGUGUAUACUAUAAUAAAGGACUGACUCACUCUUUUUGCCCCUUCCGUAUAUCUUCCUGUGUUCUCUUCUCUCAGGUCUUCACUCUGCUGUGUCUUGCUGACCGGAUGGUCCAUUGCCUGUGGUGGACGGGCAAGGACCCAGACAGUUACUCCAUCCCCUACCUCACCGCUCUGGGGAUCUAUUGGGCACGGCCCCCCUCGCUCUGGCCUUCUUCCUGUUCUGGCUCAUAGGGGAGCAGGUUCCCACUGGAGACUGACACCCUGGGUGCUUCAUCUUAUACUAUUCUCCUUUGAUUCUGCCUGGGUAAAAGUAGGCACGAAACGUAGCAAUGCCUUCAAAUUAUGUAGGCAACUCCACACACAGUUGAGAAAUUCUAAACAUUCCCUUUACAAGUCAAAUGUUUAAUACAUUUAUUUGAAUUUAUUCAGACGAUUGCUUUGUGGUGUUGGUCCUUCUGUUGGUUGAAAUUUGAGACAAUAUCCACAGGAGAGUGUUAUUAAUCUGACUUCAUAAUGCGGUUCUCUGCCAUUAACAAUCAAGAUUUGUUUGCUCGUGCACAUGAUGAAAGUAACCGAAGUCUGCAGGUGUUUACAUGGUUUUUCACAUGUGCCAGGUUAUAUACAUUUAAACGGCAGUACAGGCGCUCUAAAAAGUCAGAUAAACAAUACUUUUUUGUGGAGAUUUUGUCUCUUUGUUUCGACUGGCUGAAGGACCAACUGCACAGACAACUGGUAAAGUGCAAAUACUGAACAAAAAUAUAAACGCAACAUACAAUGCAAAUGUAAAAGAUUUUACUGAGUUAGUUCAUAUAAGAUAAUAAGUCAAUUUAAAUAAAUUCAUUAGGUCCUAAUUUAUGGAUUUCACGACUGGGAAUACAGAUGUUUUAUAUAUAAUAUAUAUAUAAUAUAUAUAUGACAAAAUAUAUAUGACAAAAUAUAUAUAUAUAUAUAUAAAAAAUACC